CUAUAAAAAAUUCAUCUACUUGCAUUGUUAAAAACUAGGAUGCCUGCAGAAAUAACCAAACAAUGACAUCGUGUGUACGGCAUGCUAAUGUAUAGAGACCGGUUUUUAAUAGUAGAAAUGGAUGAAAUUUUUAAUA
rnacentral:pre_miRNA from 1 species